rnacentral:rRNA from 1 species
CCCAAAAAAGACAGUCUCAGUUCGGAUUGAAGGCUGAAAUUCGCCUUCAUGAAGCCGGAAUUGCUAGUAAUGGCAGGUCAGCAUACUGCCGUGAAUACGUUCCCGGGCCUUGUACACACCGCCCGUCACACCAUGAGAGUUGGGAAUACCCGAAGCCUGUGAGCUAACUUUUAGAGGCAGCAGUCGAAGGUAGAAUCAAUGAUUGGGGUGAAGUCGUAACAAGGUACC